rnacentral:rRNA from 1 species
UACGUAGGGGGCAAGCGUUGUCCGGAUUUAUUGGGCGUAAAGAGCGUGUAGGCGGCCGUACAGGUCAGCUGUGAAAACUCGAGGCUCAACCUCGAGACGUCGGUUGAAACCGUACGGCUAGAGUCCGGAAGAGGAGAGUGGAAUUCCCGGUGUAGCGGUGAAAUGCGCAGAUAUCAGGAGGAACACCAAUGGCGAAAGCAGCUCUCUGGGACGGUACUGACGCUGAGACGCGAAAGCUAGGGGAGCAAACGGG